UACGAAGGGGGCUAGCGUUGCUCGGAAUGACUGGGCGUAAAGGGCGCGUAGGCGGGCAUUUUAGUCAGGCGUGAAAUUCCCGGGCUUAACCUGGGGGCUGCGUUUGAUACGGGGUGCCUAGAGUUUGGAAGAGGGUCGUGGAAUUCCCAGUGUAGAGGUGAAAUUCGUAGAUAUUGGGAAGAACACCGGUGGCGAAGGCGGCGACCUGGUCCUUGACUGACGCUGAGGCGCGAAAGCGUGGGGAGCAAACAGG
rnacentral:rRNA from 1 species